rnacentral:tRNA from 1 species
CAGAAAAUAGUUUACAUAAAAUAGUAAUUUUGGGUAUUACAGAGGGGGUUAUCUUUUUCUGA